rnacentral:rRNA from 1 species
UUGGAGGGCAAGUCUGGUGCCAGCAGCCGCGGUAAUUCCAACUCCAAUAGCGUAUAUUAAAGUUGUUGCAGUUAAAAAGCUCGUAGUUGAAUUUUGGAUUCUUCCAAUUGGUCCAUCUUUUAGAUGAGUACUGGUUGUGUGGGGUCUAUCCGCCUGGUAAUACGUAAUGUCCUUUAUUGGAUGUUGCGGGUAGUCAGGACCUUUACCUUGAAAAAAUUAGAGUGUUUGAAGCAGGCUUAUGCCGGAAUACAUUAGCAUGGAAUAAUAGAAUAGGACGAAGUUGUUUUAUUUUGUUGGUUUCUAGGACAACCGUAAUGAUUAAUAGGGAUAGUUGGGGGCAUUAGUAUUCAAUUGUCAGAGGUGAAAUUCUUGGAUUUAUUGAAGACUAACUACUGCGAAGGCAUUUGCCAAGGAUGUUUUCAUUAAUCAAGAACGAAAGUUAGGGGAUCGAAGACGAUCAGAUACCGUCGUAGUCUUAACCAUAAACUAUGCCGACUAGGGAUCGGGCGAUGUUGUUUCCAUGACUCGCUCGGCACCUUACGGGAAACCAAAG